rnacentral:rRNA from 1 species
UACCAGCCCCCCGAGUGGUGGGGAUGAUUAUUUGGCCUAAAGCGUUCGUAGCCGGCUCAGUAAGUCCUCCGUUAAAUCUGACGACUUAAUCGUCAGGCUGCGGGAGAUACUGCUGGGCUAGGAGGCGGAAGAGGUCGACGGUAUUCCAGGGGUAGGGGUGGAAUCCUAUAAUCCUUGGAAGACCACCAGUGGCGAAGGCGGUCGACCAGAACGCGCUCGACGGUGAGGGACGAAAGCUGGGGUAGCGAACCGGAUUAGAUACCCGGGUAGUCCCAGCUGUAAACGAUGCAAGCUAGGUGUCGGCGCGGCUACGGGCCGUGCCAGUGCCCCAGGGAAGCCCUUAAGCUUGCCGCCUGGGGAGUACGGUCGCAAGGCUGAAACUUAAAGGAAUUGGCGGGGAGCACCACAAGGCGUGAAGGCUGCGGUUU